rnacentral:rRNA from 1 species
UCUGGUUGAUCCUGGCGGAGGCCAUUGCUAUUGGGAUCCGAUUUAGCCAUGCUAGUCGCACGAGUUCAGACUCGUGGCGAAUAGCUCAGUAACACGUGGCCAAACUACCCUUCGGAACACAAUACCCUCGGGAAACUGAGGCUAAUAGUGUAUACCAUACCACCACUGGAAUGAGUGGUAUGCCAAACGCUCCGGCGCCGAAGGAUGUGGCUGCGGCCGAUUAGGUAGACGGUGGGGUAACGGCCCACCGUGCCAAUAAUCGGUACGGGUCAUGAGAGUGAGAACCCGGAGACGGAAUCUGAGACAAGAUUCCGGGCCCUACGGGGCGCAGCAGGCGCGAAACCUUUACACUGCACGACAGUGCGAUAGGGGGAUCCCAAGUGCACAGGCAUAGCGCCUGUGCUUUUCGGUACCGUAAGGUGGUACUAGAAUAAGGGCUGGGCAAGACCGGUGCCAGCCGCCGCGGUAAUACCGGCAGCCCAAGUGAUGGCCGAUCUUAUUGGGCCUAAAGCGUCCGUAGCUGGCCGCGCAAGUCCAUCGGGAAAUCCACCUGCUCAACAGGUGGGCGCCCGGUAGAAACUGCGUGGCUUGGGACCGGAAGGCGCGACGGGUACGUCCGGGGUAGGAGUGAAAUCCCGUAAUCCUGGACGGACCGCCGAUGGCGAAAGCACGUCGCGAGAACGGAUCCGACAGUGAGGGACGAAAGCCAGGGUCUCGAACCGGAUUAAAUACCCGGGUAGUCCUGGCCGUAAACAAUGCCUGCUAGGUGUGGCUCCCACUACGAGUGGGUGCUGUGCCGUANGGAANCCGCUAANCAGGCCNCCUAGN